GGCGAGGCAUGGUAUGUUUGACAAGCUGGAGAAAUAAGGGGACUCAGACUUCGCAAAGCAGUUACCAACCUGUUGGAGUAAAUGCUCAACGUUCAGCUUAAAUGUAACUCAAGUUUUUAAAGCUUGGCGUAGUCUUUCACGGUUGAAAGACUAGCAGUUUUUUCUCUUGAAAGUUACCCAUUCGUAUUGAUUAAUAUUUCCUAACCUGUACCCGGAGCCAGGACCCAUGCUCACAGCCAUCGCAAAGUCGCAAAGGGGGAAGAAGGUGAAAACCAACAUGCUUAAGAUUUGCGACCAGAAUGGUUUGAAAUAUUCAGGAUUAAGAAGUUGGGGAAAAGGUAGGUAACAACUAUCUUUAAAAAAAUGUAUUGGUUAUGUUUAUAAGAAAAUGCAGAAUUCAUUUAUGUACAUAGUUUUCUUAUAAUCUGACCUUGAAAAAUAGUGUACCAUAUUUAAGAACUAUAGGAAAUCAUUUGAGAAAUGAUCUCAUUCUUAAAAUUAUAAUAUUGAACCUGUACACUGAGGUCCAUUUGACAACCAAAUUAAUGUUAAUGUAUACUAUUUCCCCUGCUCUAUAUUCUGCAUUAGAAUUUUAACAUAAAUGCAUUCUUGGAAUCUGUCAAUCAUUUUUUGAAUGUUUCUUUAUGCCUGCAAAUAUAUACUGAGUGACUGCUGUGUGCCAGCCGCUAUAGUAGGUUGUGGAGAUACCUGUCAUCAAUUCAGAUAAAAUCUCUGCCCGCACAAAACUUAUAUUGAGGGAUCAAGAAGAAACAGUAAAUAAGCAAUACAUAUCAAAUGAUUAUAAGUGCUAUGUAGAAUAAUAAACUAGAGAUUAAAGGUUAAGGAGUGCCA
rnacentral:lncRNA from 1 species